AAACGUUACACUUAAAUUCACUAGAGAGAUAAUAUCGAAAUGAUUUCUCUCCACUGAUUUCUUUAAUAAUACUCCAAUUCCAUCACUCUCUACGAGUUUUUAUUUUCAUCAAAAACUGAACAUUUUGUAUUAUUGCCCAAGCCAAAAAUUACUCAUGAAUAAGCCUGGACCAUGAAUUUCGUAUCAUCCCCAAUAUUCUACCAGAUGAUGAACAUUCAGGAACUUGUAGACAGUCAAGUGAAAUUCAAUCCACGAAAUAAUUGCGUAGUUGUGGUAAAUUUUGAUACUGUUUUUGAUUUCAGAGGGAUUGCUUUUGCAGCUGAUUCAGGUGAUAAGCAAAUCUGUUUGCGUUACAAUGCCAUUAGAUAUUGAGGAGAUAGUGUUUGAUGAAAGUCUCCAGCGAAAUGAGUUUUGAGUUACAAUGCCAAUUUUGACAUCUGAAGCUUGUUGUAACUGAUGAUACAUCUGUUUUACCGUGAGAUUUUCGAUGUCUUUUCAACCAGCCAUCCUUAGUCGAUUUUAGGGAUCUAGCAAUGUGUGAGUGCAUGAAAAAUGGCUUAUCCACUUGUUAUUAUUGGUUCAAAUUUGUGCAGCAUUUAUUUCAGUUCAUUCUCUUCGAUCGUGUUCCGGGAAAUGCAUGUGGUGCUUUGAGUUUGUUUUCAUGAGUUUGAGUUUGCAAGGCUUUUACAUGGAUAUGUUAUCUUUGGUAGAUUCUAGAUAGUCAUUUGCAAUGCAAAUCUGUUCAUUGAUAUGGAUUCCAUCUGUGGGGGUUCUGCUAUGUUCAAUGCUAGUCACUUUGUUUUGAUGGUUUCUCUCAAGAACAAGAUUUCUUACUCAAAUUUCAUCCCUUAUGCUAUUGUAAUACUUGAGAAAUACAAUAUUGUUACAUGGAUAGCUACGAAACGUGCAACUUAUUCAAGUAUUAACUUACAACUGAGUGAAAUGGUCAAGAUAACUUACAGGGACAAAGCUUAUUAGUAUUGGUGUCGUACCAUAUGAACUCAUUCGACCAGAUUUAUGUAGGAUGUUCCCCAGCUAUGCCUCUUCUUUUAACAUAUAUGUUGCCUUCAGUGAACAUAUAUAUGGCGUGAGAAAUUCGCUUCUUCUAUGGCACUUGGUUUGGCUACUUGGCUUGCUAGCUUCCAGGAGAUACUUCAGGAAUUCUUCAAGUACCCACACAAGUGGUCUUAAACGGCGUAAGGAACAAAUAAAGCAGUUGGUGAACACACAUUUUGAUCGCUUUGUACCUUGCAAAACAAUGAUUUAUUGUAUGCAAGAGUUCAGCUUAGUUUUUCAUUGUGCGUUUGAGUUGCUGUGCGCAAGUUUGGUGCAGAAAAUGUUUCCAAUAUUACUUCACUUCUCUAGUACCACCCAUGAGCACAUUCAUAACAGUGUAUAUGAUCGGACACUAAGGCAGCACAACAAAGUAGAGUACAAUGUUUUACCUUCUCCUAUAGGAAUACUGUCCAUCAGGAGAGUACCAAAAUUAUGCAAGCAUCAAAACUCUCUGUGAGGCUACAGAAGCUACUAUUGGACCAGUAGCUGGCCACACGACUUUCUUGUGGAAUUGCUUGUAGGACAUUACUAAGGAGAUUCUUUGGACAUCAAAGUAGUGUCGGAAGGUCUCUCAAGGAUUCAGAGCACGUGAGGAAAUUCUUUGUCUAUGUUUAGCUAUGGGCUUUUGACUACGAUGGUUUUGAUGUUAAGGUUUUACUACUCGAACCUUGAGGACAAGGUUCUUAUUGGGGAUGGAGGUAUUUUCAUGAAUGAGUCUGUACCAGUAUUGGCAAAGCAGCCCAAUAAUAGAUUAAAUGACUGUAUUUGGGAUCCAAGUUGAAUAUAGUUACUUGUGGCAGCAAACUAGGUUUAUGUGAAUAUUGUUGGAGUGUCUGUGUCUCCUCAUUCCCGUUUUAUCCGUUUUUCUCUUCCAUUUCAGAGUCUAUGCUUUUUAUCUCCCUUCUAUCCCUUGUUAUUAUUCCUUGUUAUCCUUUCAACUACCUUGUUGAUCUUAAGUUUUCUGUUGCUAUAGUUAGUUUGAGCUUUCAAUCAAAGGAAUUGCUUCCCUGUUGUUGAGCGUGUAAUUUAUUCACUUCCGAAGAUCUAUCAAGAAUGAUUCAAUUUCGCUAAUUCAGAUGUAGAUGAACCCUCACCGGAGGAAAUGCCACCAAGCUAUUUGCCAUGUCUAGUUUGCCUCGUCAAGAGCUCAAGCAGAUAGAAAAAGGGUCCAGAUCCUUGACCUUGGGCCUUGCGGAAGUUGGCAUAGUUGUGGAAAAAGUAGAGGCCGAAGUCGACAAGGCAACCCGUGGCAGGCUCACCAUCAAUGAAGAUGUGAGCUUCUGGCAAAUGCCACCCUCUUGGGCGCACAAACAACUUAGCUGUCUGAUCAUUCAGUUUAUACACUUUGUUUCUAGCUUGAUCUUGGAAUGUUAUUGUUCUAUUUACUGCAUCCCUCAAAUUUAUCUGGCCUCUCAUUAAAUUCUCCCAGCUUGGUGACAGUGCAUCUUCAAAGUCCGCCUGUGGAAUAUCAUAUUAGUGAAUUCUAUGAACUACAUCACUAUAGUAUGUAGGAAGAAAAACAAAGUGCACAUAUUCUGGAUAUGCUUCCACUCCAAAUUGAGGUUAAGUACUUACAUAAAGGUGUAGUGCUACAUUAUUUUUUAUUCAACUAUUUUCUUCAAUGUAAUUCACACUGGCCUUUUCUUCGUUUUAGUUAUAUUAAAAUGAGAGUUCUUCUA